UACGGAGGGUGCAAGCGUUGUUCGGAAUCACUGGGCGUAAAGCGCGUGUAGGCGGCUAUCUAAGUCUGAUGUGAAAGCCCUGGGCUCAACUCAGGAAGUGCAUUGGAUACUGGAUAGCUGGAGUACCGGAGAGGAGGGUGGAAUUCCUGGUGUAGCGGUGAAAUGCGUAGAUAUCAGGAGGAACACCGGUGGCGAAGGCGUCCCUCUGGCCGGAUACUGACGCUGAGGAGCGAAAGCGUGGGGAGCGAACAGG
rnacentral:rRNA from 1 species